rnacentral:rRNA from 1 species
CCUACGGGUGGCAGCAGUGAGGAAUAUUGGUCAAUGGGCGCUAGCCUGAACCAGCCAAGUCGCGUGAGGGAUGACUGCCCUAUGGGUUGUAAACUUCUUUUGUCUGGGAGUAAAGUGCCGCAUGUGUGCUGCUUUGAGUGUACCCGGUGAAUAAGCAUCGGCUAACUCCGUGCCAGCAGCCGCGGUAAUACGGAGGAUCCGAGCGUUAUCCGGAUUUAUUGGGUUUAAAGGGUGCGUAGGCGGGCGCUUAAGUCAGUGGUAAAAGUGGGGGGCUCAACCUUGUCGUGCCGUUGAAACGGGGAGCCGUGAGUGGGCGAGAAGUACGCGGAAUGCGUGGUGUAGCGGUGAAAUGCAUAGAUAUCACGCAGAACUCCGAUUGCGAAGGCAGCGUGCCGGCGCCCAACUGACGCUGAAGCACGAAGGUGUGGGUAUCGAACAGGAUUAGAUACCCUUGUAGUC